rnacentral:rRNA from 1 species
UAAGUUGGAUGUGAAAGCUCCCGGCUCAACUGGGAGAGGACGUUCAAAACUAGUAAGCUUGAGUACGAGAGAGGAAAAUGGAAUUCCGGGUGUAGUGGUGAAAUGCGUAGAUAUCCGGAGGAACACCAGUGGCGAAGGCGAUUUUCUGGCUCGAGACUGACGCUCAGACGCGAAAGCUAGGGUAGCAAACGGGAUUAGAGACCCCGGUAGUCCUAGCCGUAAACGAUGUAGACUAGGCGUUGGUGGAGUAAAAUCCAUCAGUGCCGGAGCAAACGCGAUAAGUCUACCGCCUGGGGACUACGGCCGCAAGGUUAAAACUCAAAGGAAUUGACGGGUCCCCGCACAAGCAGCGGAGCGUGUGGUUUAAUUCGAUGCUACACGAAGAACCUUACCUGGGUUUGACAUAGAAGUAGUAGGGAAGCGAAAGCGGACCGACCCUUCGGGGAGCCUCUACAGGUGUUGCAUGGCUGUCGUCAGCUCGUGUCGUGAGAUGUUCGGUUAAGUCCGCUAACGAGCGCAACCCUCGCUGUGUGUUACAAGUGUCACACGGAACUGCCGGUCAUAAACCGGAGGAAGGUGGGGAUGACGUCAAGUCAGCAUGGCCUUUAUAUCCUGGGCUACACACACGCUACAAUGGGAAGGGACAAUAGGUAGCGAAACCGCGAGGUGGAGCCAAUCCAGCAAAACUUCCCUCAGUUCAGAUUGCAGGCUGCAACCCGCCUGCAUGAAGUUGGAGUUGCUAGUAAACGCAGGUCAGCCAUACUGCGUUGAAUACGUUCCCGGGGCUUGUACACACCGCCCGUCACGUCAUGGGAGCUGGUAACACCUGAAGCCGGUAGCUUAACCCGCAAGGGAGAGCGCUGUCAAAGGUGGGGCUGGUGACUGGGACGAAGUCGUAACAAGGUAGGUGUACCGGAAGGUGCGCCUG